AGUAACGCGUGGGGAACCUACCCUAUACAGGGGGAUAACAGCUGGAAACGGCUGCUAAUACCGCAUAAGCGCACAGAAUCGCAUGAUUCAGUGUGAAAAGCCCUGGCAGUAUAGGAUGGUCCCGCGUCUGAUUAGCUGGUUGGUGAGGUAACGGCUCACCAAGGCGACGAUCAGUAGCCGGCUUGAGAGAGUGAACGGCCACAUUGGGACUGAGACACGGCCCAA
rnacentral:rRNA from 1 species